CCCAGUUCGGAUUGCAGGCUGCAACCCGCCUGCAUGAAGCCGGAAUCGCUAGUAAUCGCGGAUCAGAAUGCCGCGGUGAAUACGUUCCCGGGUCUUGUACACACCGCCCGUCACACCAUGGGAGUCGGGAAUGCCCGAAGUCAGUGGCCCAACCGGAAGGGGGGAGCUGCCGAAGGCAGGCCCGGUGACUGGGGUGAAGUCGUAACAAGGUAAC
rnacentral:rRNA from 1 species